CGCGCGGUCAGAGGUUAAUUACCUUAGCGCGAGCAUUUAGCUUUAGUCUUCCUUAAACAGCGUGCUAACUGACAAACGCAUGAACAAACAAACAAGCAGGACUACAAAUAGAACAGCCAAAGCGGAAGAGUUUGAAAACGUGAUUGAAAUAAUUGUUCGUCCGAGCCCACCUGUCGCCCCCCGAGGAGAGAGCACAGGUGACAAGCUUCCCAUCCACCUCGCAAACAUCUCGAGCCCACCGGCCGACUCGCUGCCUGUGAGACCUGCAUGGGAGAGGCAAGGUUUGAGUGGGAGGAAGAACCAGAGCCGAGCCGGUGAGCAGCAGGAAUCCUCAUCAUGGCCUCCGUCUAGGUCUGCAACACACAACCCAGAACCAAACAACAGCGACAACUAGUGCCCGGGAGGAAGAGGGGCUUCACAACAGGACACCAAACGGAGGCUCUGGCGCGCUGCACAGACGAAACAUCGGAGGAUUGUGUGUUGAGCUCACUUUAUACACCCAUCUAUUAAUGACGCCACUACGGGAUUCUUCUGUAUGGUUACACGCGUCACGCCCUGACAAAGAAUGCAGAGCGCGCUUCAUCUGGCCGCGACCUGUGAGCUCUGCGCUGCUCCUCGCCACCUCCCAAGGCAACAGCGUUCAUCUUAUCUCAGCUUGUUUUUCUUCCCCUUCCUGUGGCCUGCGGGGGAAGACGCAGCGUUUGUGCCCCCCUCAGCACCUGACCCGAUGAAUAAGCGGCCACAGGGGUCACGGUCAGUCUCUGACACAUCCUCUGUCGUCACGGAGACGCCCGCUCACAGGCCGCCCGGAGGGAGCCCGGCCCGUGUGAGAGCGCCGCCCACACCGAGGGACUCGCAUCGCUCUUUAAACUGCCACAUGAAGAUGGACAGAGAGAGAGAGGAAGUGAAAAGUUGUUAAUGAUUGAAGCUUUCUGAGUAGUGUCUCGCUCUGACUGCAGUGUGUGUGUGUGUGUGUGUGUGUGUGCAGAUAUCUCUAACCCGAUGCACACAGAGUAUUUGGAGUCACCAGCUGGAUUAUUUUAUGGGGCUCCGUUGCAUUAUCGCCUGCUCAGCUGUCCUUAACUGGGAUCGUCCCCAUUGGACGAGGCGGUGCUUCCUCGCUCGCCGACACGGGCAGCGUUUGAUGGAGCAGAGAAUUAAACGACAACAUGUCAGAACCAAUUCAUUGUUGUGCUCACCUUUUAUAGUUUGAAUCGUAUUUACAAAAGAGAAUGAAAAUGAAUUCACAUCUUAAUGAUGGAGUGAAUGAUGGUUUCACUUCUUAAUGAACAGACAAAAGACUUGUGUAGGCUGACUAAAGGGUGACUAAAGGGUUAGGAAAGUCUGGUUCCUGCUUUAUUUUUAUUUCUGCUUCUUGUUGUUGUAAAUUUCUGUGACUUUUGGAUGGAACCAUUUAUUAUCAAUGAUGGACAUUUACUCUUUGAACCUUUUAUUUCAAAGAUUAAUAAUUUACAGAGGGAGGUUUUCUUUCAUUUUUCUAUUACUUGUAUGAUGACACAUAACACAAUUAAAUAUUCCCCUUUUGUGUGUCUUAAUGGAAUAAAACGUGUUAAGCUGUA